UACGUAGGGUGCAAGCGUUGUCCGGAAUUAUUGGGCGUAAAGAGCUCGUAGGCGGUCUGUCGCGUCGGCUGUGAAAACUCGGGGCUCAACUCCGAGCUUGCAGUCGAUACGGGCAGACUAGAGUGUGGUAGGGGAGACUGGAAGUUCCUGGUGUAGCGGUGGAAUGCGCCAGAUAGUCAGGAGGAACACCGGUGGCGAAGGCGGGUCUCUGGGCAGUAACUGACGCUGGAGGAGCGAAAGCCGUGGGGGAGCGAACAGG
rnacentral:rRNA from 1 species